GUGCAGGGCAGGGAAGCUCCAGGCAAACAGCCCAGCAAACAGCAGCACUCAGCUAAAAGGAAGACUCACAGAACACAGUUGAAGAAGGAAAGUGGCGAUGGACCUCAUCCCAAAUUUGGCGGUGGAAACCUGGCUUCUCCUGGCUGUCAGCCUGGUGCUCCUCUAUCUAUAUGGGACCCGUACACAUGGACUUUUUAAGAGACUGGGAAUUCCAGGGCCCACACCUCUGCCUUUGUUGGGAAAUGUUUUGUCCUAUCGUCAGGGUCUCUGGAAAUUUGACACAGAGUGCUAUAAAAAGUAUGGAAAAAUGUGGGGUAUCUCUUCCCUGUUUGGACCACAUUACCCUUCAUCAUAUGAAGCCUUGGGUGGCUCCUGUGUGAGACUCUUGCUGUGUGUCACACCCUAAUGAACUAGAACCUAAGGUUGCUGUGUGUCGUACAACUAGGGAACGUAUGAAGGUCAACUCCCUGUGCUGGCCAUCACAGAUCCCGACGUGAUCAGAACAGUGCUAGUGAAAGAAUGUUAUUCUGUCUUCACAAAUCGAAGGAUUUGUGCAACGACCAGCACCAUCAAGAUGCAGACCCAUUCCGUCACCAUGUGGCUCCCUCCUGCUGUCCUACAGUCACAACAUGGAGUUUGUCUUUUUCUCUGACAGGUUCUAUAUCAGAGCAAACUUUUAUUUAUUUGAGGAGGCCAAUGUAUUAAUAUUUCCUUUUAUGGAUUGUUCUUUUGGUGUUAAGUCUGAAAAUCCUUUGCUUAGCCCUCCUUCCUACAUUGCUUUUUCUAAGAGUUAUAUAGUUUAACACUUUACAAAAUGUAACUCUAUUACCCAUUUUGUGUUAAUAUUUGCAUAAGUUAUGAGAUUUAGAUCAAGGUUCAUUUUCUGUGGACUAUGGCUGUCCAAAUGUUCCAACACCAUUUUGGAAAGGUAGGCAUAUUGUCAAAACUCAGCUGAGUAUAUUUUGUGAAUCUAUUUCUUAUUGUUUACUCCUCCACUAAUACCACACUGUGGUGACUCUAGUAGCUGUACAGUAACUCUUAACAUCAUAUAGGGCAAUUCUUUCCACUUUAUUGAUUUAUAUUUUCAGAAUGGCUUUAGCUUUUCUUGUCCCUUGCCUUUCCAUAAAAAUUCAGAAUAAGCUUGUAAGUGUCUACAAACAAACCUGCCAUAAUUUUGAUAAGAAUUAAAGCAGAGGUGUCCAAUCUUUUGGCUUCCCUGGGCCACAGUGGAAGAAGAAGUGUCGUGGGCCACACAUAAAAUACACACACACACACACACACACACACACACACACACACACACACACAAAUGGUCUGUGUAUAGUUUUCAUUAUAUAUCUACCACCACAGAUAAGCAAAAAUGUCCUUGCAUAAUAAUCCUAAUUAUGCACUGCCCCAUUCAGAGGGUCUUUCAAAAUCAUUGAACAGGUUCCAAGUUUGCAAUCACUGAUACAGAAAAUGUACAUAUCUAGCUAAACUUCACUACUUUUUUGAUAUUUUUUAUUAUAAAAGAAAAGAGAACAACAUAAAACUAGUGGGGUACUUGACAUUGUUUUUGAGAAACUAAUCCAUCAGUAUCUGGCUUGAUGGAAGUAGUUGCAAUUCUCAGUGAGUUCUCAAGGUGCUCAUCAGAUAUUUUGGUUCUAAUUUUACUCUUCGUGUUCUUCAUCCUUGAAAAUAGUAGCUCACAAAUGUAAGUGCUGCCAAAAAGCAAUGACAUGAACAAGGUGUGAUUGUGAAGCAAGGGAUAUUUGUCAUUGGGAAGACAGGUCUUACAAAAGUCCAGUAAAGAGGCAAAAUCAAAUUUUUCUAUAAGUUGAACAUCAGAUUGCAGCUCUAGGCAUUCCAUUUCAAAAUUGCCAGGUAACAUAUAUAUGUCGACUGAAAAUGGAGUUGCAAAUAUACCAAAAUAUUGAUGAUUUUUUCAGAAAUCUUGAAAUACCUGUUUUCAAAUUCCUGUAUCAAAUUGAAAAGCAAGGCUGCGUAUUUUUGGCUGUUCACAGGACCAUGUUUAGCCAACAUGUCGAAAUGCAUAAAAUUGUUUGCCUUAAUUUGAGCUUGCCAUAAUUUCAGUUUCAUAUGGAAUGCUGUUAUGGUUUGAAACAUUGUAUUGUUAAGUUGGUUUUCAACUUGAAGACACAGGUUUAACUCACUUAAAUGGGCCGUCAAACCCACUAAAAAUGCUAAAUCUGUAAGCCAGUUUUCAUUGUCAAGUUCUGGCACCAAUUUUGUUUGAUACCAUAAACAGCUUGAUUUCACAUCACAAAGCAUAAAAUCUUUACAUUUUGCCUUGACUUAACCAUCUUACUUCUAAAAAGUGAAUGACUUGCUAGAGUCAGCAUCCAUACUUUUAAGGAAUUCCUGAAACUAGCGAUGAUUCAAUUCCUGGGCCCUUGUGAAAUUUACAGCCUUGAUGACAAUUUGCAUGACGUUAUCUACUUUUAAAGCUUGUGCACAUGGAUUUUCUUGAUGUAUUAUGCAAUAAUACUUCAUCAAAUGUGAGUUUUGUGUGGCAACUGCAUCAUCUAUUAAUUGUACAAGUCCCUCUCUUUUACCUACCAUCGCCAGGGCAGCAUCUGUAGCUAUAUCACAUAUGUUUACAAAGGACAAAGAAAAUUGCUUUAACAUAUUUUUCACUGCUUCAUAUAAAUCUCUUGAUUUAGUUGUGUCUUUUAAUAGCAUGGUGACAUUUCGAUUUCUUCAGUGACAUUAUAUUCAUCAUCAAUACCUCUAAUAAAAAUAGCAAGUUGUGCCGUAUCUGUAGUGUCAGUGCCUUCAUCCAUCACCAAAGCAUAAAAUUUUAAAUUAGCAGUUUUACUCUCCAAACGUCUUUCAAUAGAUUUCCCAAUUUCUCCAAUUCUCCUGGCUAUAGUCUGGUGAGACAAACUGAUUUUAGAAAUAUCAGUUUCUCAAGGCAAAUAAUAUCUACCACAUCUUCCAGACAUUGCUUAAUAAACUCACCAUCAGUAAAUGGUUUUGAUUUUUUUGCUAUUAAAUUUGCUACCACAUAACUAGGUUUUACCUUACGAUUGAGUCCGAGUUGUAACUUUUUAAAAAAUCUUUUUUGUUGAAAAGACAGACUUUUUUUCAGUUCUGCUAUUUUGUCCUUACAACACAUACACACCAAAUUUGUCAGCACGUUUUUGCAUAUAAUGCCUCUUCAAAUUGUAGUCUUUGAAAACUGGCACAAAUUCCGUGGAAAUUAAGCAGAGUGCUUCGCUAUUUGCCUCAACAAGAAAAAGUCAUUUGUCCACUUUUCAUUGAACAAUCUUCCUUCAUCCAUAAUUUUUGUUUUUUAGGGUUUUCUUUUUAAGACAUUGUGGAAGCCAUUCUGGAAUUAAAAGCAUUAUAAUAGAUAAGCAACUAUAUUUACUUUUAUUAUGGAAAUUAACAGAUAGGAAAAUAGAACAGAAAGCAAGGUUUAAUAAUCAAAUAAGAAUACUUACAUGUCUUCUAAAUAAUAUUAAACACCUAUCAUCUACAAAGGUAGGUUGAAAUAUUAUUGAUAAUUGCUGGGUUUUACUUGCCAAAUUGCCACAAACACACCUAAUACCUGACAGUGUCAAUUCAACUGUCCGUGAUUAGAAGAUAACACACUGGAAGUCGCACACCACCAUAAAACUGAAGCCACACAUGCGUACAAAUGGCGACAGUGUCUGGUGUACAGCAGCGCUCUGCCUUGUCCAGAAUACACACUUGAAUUCUUUGUCACAAUUCACUUCACGUGGCACUGCAAUAGCGUCCUCUCGCUCUUUGUUAGUUAAUUUUAAUGGCUUUUAAUUUCUUCUUGCUGAACUGUUUGCAAUUAUAAUGCAAAUUAUGGAUACUAGUCCAUUAUUUGUGGAUGUGACAUACUCUGAUUACCCCUUUCCAUUCCAUUGUUGUCUACGAAGUUCACACUUGAGAAUCACAUAGUCAAAUUACAAAAUUACAAAAAAAAUUGCAAAAAAACUCAAAAUGUUUUAAGAAAGUUUCCACAUUUGUAUUGGGAUACAUUCAAAGCCAUCCUGGACUGCAUGAGGCCUGCAGGCCACAAGUUGGACAAGCUUGAAUUAAACCAAUAGAACAAUUUGGGUAUAAUCUAUAUCUUUACUAUGUUCAGCCUUUCAUCCCGUGAAUAUAGUAUGCCUCUCCAUUUCUUUAGCUUUUAUUACUUUCCUCAACAUUUUAUAGUUUUCAGCAUAGAGGUCCUGUACAUCUUUUGUUAGAUUUACACCAGAAAUAUUUCAUUUUUGUUGGAGUAACUGUAAAUGAUACUGUUUUUCUUGUAUUUUCAGAUAUUGAUUAUUGUUACAUAGAAAUGUGAAUAAUUUUGUUUGUUGAUCUUGUAUCCUAUAGCCUUGCAGAACUUACCUAUUCGUUCUAGAAAUUUUUUUGUAUAUUCCUUGACAUUUUAUACAUUGACAAUUAUGUCACCUGAAAAUAGAGACAAUUCUAUUAUUUCCUUUCCAAUCUGUAUGCCUUUUAUUUCUUUUUCUUGUCUAGUGUAUUAAGACAUCAGGUAUGCUCUUUAGUAAGAAUGUUGAGAGUGGGCAUUUUUUAGUUCUUCUUGAUCUUGGAAAAACCAUUCAGUCCUUCAUCAUUAAAUGUGAUUUAACUGAAUGAUUUUUUUACAGAUUGUCUUUAUCAAAUGAAGGAACUGUCUCUCUCUUCCUAGUUUAUUGAGAUUUUAUCAUGACAGCUGGAAGUACACAUUUUAAAACAAAACAUAGUUGUGGAAGAUAAGAGAAAGUUCCAAGCAUGCUGGCUUGAUAGUCCAGCCCCAAGUUGGGAAAAGUAAUUAUCCCUUUCUUUUUCCUUCUAUUUAUGGAAUAAAAAAUUAAGAGAAAAGAAUUUUCAAGGAAAUUGCAUUAUUCCUUCAAAACAGGUUUCUAGUCUUUAAGUAUUACCUACUUUUCAAAAAAAAAUCACCACAUCAUGGCAUCCCUUUUUCAAGUUGCCCAUGCUGUAGGUGUAUUAAAGACAGAGCUGGUCUGAGGCAACAUACAGUCUGCCCAUCUGUCACCAAUCCUUUUCUACUCUGCACACUCCUGGGGAAGGGCUAGGUCUUGUUCCUGUCUAUUCCACUGGAAGAACAGUUCCCUACCACGUGGAGCAUUUGCAAUUAAAAGGAGACUGAGAUAUAGAGGCAGGAGACCACACCAGAUGGCUGGGUCUCCCCACUCCCACCCCCGCCCCACAUACACUCAGAAGAGGCUAGGCAUCUAGGAUCUCCAUUGAGCAUCUUGAAUAUGGCUUGCCAUAAUAUCAUAUACAGUCAAUAAAUAUUUGUUAAAUAAGGAUGCCUCUUCAAUAUAUUUUGUGCAACCAUGAAGAUCACCACAACUAAUGUGAGAAAAAAUGUUUCUGUUGAACUCUAGUCUUUAGGCCCAGUGGGAUUUAUGAAAAGUGCCAUCUCUUUAGCUGAGGAUGAAGAAUGGAAGAGAAUACGGUCAUUGCUGUCUCCAACCUUCACCAGCGGAAAACUCAAGGAGAAAAGACAUCACAAAAUUCAUUACAAAAUGUCACUUACUGCUCCAUGCUGGAGAAAGCCAUAUCCUUCUGGGACUUGAGUCUGCACAUUUAACUA
rnacentral:lncRNA from 10 species